rnacentral:rRNA from 1 species
AUUGAACGCUGGCGGCAGGCCUAACACAUGCAAGUCGAACGCGUGGCGGACGGGUGAGUAAUGUCUGGGAAACUGCCUGAUGGAGGGGGAUAACUACUGGAAACGGUAGAUAAUACCGAAUACAAUCGGAUGUGCCCAGAUGGGAGUAGCUAGUAGGUGGGGGUAAGGCUCACCUAGGCGACGAGCCCUAGCUGGUCUGAGAGGAUGAACAGCCACACUGGAACUGAGCCACGGUCCAGACUCCUACGGGAGGCAGCAGUGGGGAAUAUUGCACAAUGGGCGCAAGCCUGAUGCAGCCAUGCCGCGUGUAUGAAGAAGGCCUUCGGGUUGUAAAGUACUUUCAGCGGGGAGGCGUUACCCGCAGAAGAAGCACCGGCUAACUCCGUGCCAGCAGCCGCGGUAAUUC